UGGGGAAUAUUGCACAAUGGGCGCAAGCCUGAUGCAGCCAUGCCGCGUGUGUGAAGAAGGCCUUCGGGUUGUAAAGCACUUUCAGCGGGGAGGAAGGCGUUAAGGUUAAUAACCUUGGCGAUUUACGUUACCCGCAGAAGAAGCACCGGCUAACUCCGUGCCAGCAGCCGCGGUAAUACGGAGGGUGCAAGCGUUAAUCGGAAUUACUGGGCGUAAAGCGCACGCAGGCGGUCUGUCAAGUCGGAUGUGAAAUCCCCGGGCUCAACCUGGGAACUGCAUUCGAAACUGGCAGGCUAGAGUCUUGUAGAGGGGGGUAGAAUUCCAGGUGUAGCGGUGAAAUGCGUAGAGAUCUGGAGGAAUACCGGUGGCGAAGGCGGCCCCCUGGACAAAGACUGACGCUCAGGUGCGAAAGCGUGGGGAGCAAACAGG
rnacentral:rRNA from 1 species